UAAAGGACCUUUUCAUACUUGAUGCCAGUUCAAAUAUUCUGCCCACAGUGUCGGGCACUUACCAGGGGCUCAUGAAAUGUGACGGGUCCCCUGAAGGGGCAGUGCACUCGUACCAGAAGAUGUAGCAAGCUGCCCACUCUGCUGUUCCCCAUGGGCACUGUGGCCUUUGCUCCUUGAGUCAUCCAUAAAGGAAUUCUGCACUUGAUCUUAGUCAAAAUACCAAGAAGCAAUCAUAAAGGAAUCCUGGAUCCUGUGGAACUCUUUCAGCAUUG